GAGCUUGCUCUCGGGUGACGAGCGGCGGACGGGUGAGUAAUGUCUGGGAAACUGCCUGAUGGAGGGGGAUAACUACUGGAAACGGUAGCUAAUACCGCAUAACGUCGCAAGACCAAAGUGGGGGACCUUCGGGCCUCAUGCCAUCAGAUGUGCCCAGAUGGGAUUAGCUAGUAGGUGGGGUAAUGGCUCACCUAGGCGACGAUCCCUAGCUGGUCUGAGAGGAUGACCAGCCACACUGGAACUGAGACACGGUCCAGACUCCUACGGGAGGCAGCAGUGGGGAAUAUUGCACAAUGGGCGCAAGCCUGAUGCAGCCAUGCCGCGUGUAUGAAGAAGGCCUUCGGGUUGUAAAGUACUUUCAGCGAGGAGGAAGGCGUUAAGGUUAAUAACCUUGGUGAUUGACGUUACUCGCAGAAGAAGCACCGGCUAACUCCGUGCCAGCAGCCGCGGUAAUACGGAGGGUGCAAGCGUUAAUCGGAAUUACUGGGCGUAAAGCGCACGCAGGCGGUCUGUUAAGUCAGAUGUGAAAUCCCCGGGCUCAACCUGGGAACUGCAUUUGAAACUGGCAGGCUUGAGUCUUGUAGAGGGGGGUAGAAUUCCAGGUGUAGCGGUGAAAUGCGUAGAGAUCUGGAGGAAUACCGGUGGCGAAGCGGCCCCUGGACAAAGACUGACGCUCAGUGCGAAGCGUGGGGAGCAAACAGGAUUAGAUACUCUGGUAGUCCACGCUGUAAACGAUGUCGACUUGGAGUUGUUCUCUUUGAGGAGUGGCCUUCCGGAGCUAACGCGUUAAGUCGACCGCC
rnacentral:rRNA from 1 species